rnacentral:rRNA from 1 species
GACAGCAGCCGCCACGGGAAUACAGAGGGUGCGAGCGUUAAUCGGAUUUACUGGGCGUAAAGCGUGCGUAGGCGGCUUCUUAAGUCGGAUGUGAAAUCCCUGAGCUUAACUUAGGAAUUGCAUUCGAUACUGGGAAGCUAGAGUAUGGGAGAGGAUGGUAGAAUUCCAGGUGUAGCGGUGAAAUGCGUAGAGAUCUGGAGGAAUACCGAUGGCGAAGGCAGCCAUCUGGCCUAAUACUGACGCUGAGGUACGAAAGCAUGGGGAGCAAACAGGAUUAGAUACCCCUGUAGUCCCUGUCUCUUAUAC